UGAAUUGCAGAAUCCCGUGAACCAUCGAGUCUUUGAACGCAAGUUGCGCCUGAAGCCAUUAGGCUAAGGGCACGUCUGCCUGGGCGUCACGCAUCGCAACACCCCUUCCCCAAUUCCGAAGAAUGGGGUG
rnacentral:rRNA from 1 species